rnacentral:rRNA from 1 species
AUGCGAAAGUCCAAAGGAGAAGCUGAAGUUCGAUCGCAUGUUAGAGGAUCACAAAAAGGGUUGUACCCCAAUUGUGAAGAUGGCAACACAAAGCUCGGUACCGUACUGGAAUUGCUGCAGUGGAAGGCAGAGAAUGUUGUGCCUGACAAAGGAUUUGAGAAGCUACUGAAAAUAUUGAAGAAGAAGAUUCCAAAGGAUAACGAAUUGCCCAACAGUACAUACGCAGCAAAGAAGGUCGUAUGCCCUCUAGGAUUGGAGGUGCAAAAGAUACAUGCAUGCCCUAAUGACUGCAUCCUCUACCGCGGUGCGUACAAGGAUCUGAACGCAUGCCCGGUAUGCGGUGCAUUGCGGUAUAAGAUCAGACGAGAUAACCCGGGUGAUGUUGACAGCGAGCCCCCCAGGAAGAGGGUUCCUGCGAAGGUGAUGUGGUAUGCUCCUAUAAUACCACAGUUGAAACGUCUGUUUAGAAACGAAGAGCAUGCCAAGUUGAUGCGAUGGCAUAGUGAGGACCGUAAGAAAGACGGGAAGUUGAGAGGACCCGCUGACGGGUCGCAGUGGAGAAAAAUCGAGAGAAAGUACUGGCAUGAGUUUGCAAGCGACCCAAGGAACGUAUGGCUUGGUUUAAGUGCAGAUGACAUUAACCCUUUCGGGGAGCAGAGCAGCAAUCACAGCACCUGGCCCAUGACUCUAUGUAUGAAUAACCUUCCUCCUUGGAUGUGUAUGAAGCGGAAGUUCAUUAUGAUGCCAUUUCUCAUCCAAGGCCCUAAGCAACCCGUCAACGACAUUGAUGUGCUCCUAAGGCCAUUAGUUGAAGAACUUUUAUAG